UAGUUGUUGAAAAAGGCAAAGUUGGGAAUUCACACGAUACAGCAGGGGCGUUGCCGUAGCUUUGCCCACGUGUGUCCCACGAUUGACAGCCGAAAUCAACUCUGGCACCACACUACUUUAAACUAACAUUUACAUAGGAGUAUUUUUUUUUUUAAUUGAAAGGAAAAAGGUGACGGUAUAAAAAGAGUUUUUUUUUACACACACACACAUAUAUAUAUAUAGAUAUAUGAGGACCCAGAGGCAGAGACAGUUCCAAUCAGGACGGACACUUCCCUCCAUUAAAAGCAGAUCUCAUCUCGUGUCUAAGCUGAAAGAUGAUACUCUACCUAUGUGAUUUCCUCCUCCGCUGUCACUUCAUCAAGUCUCUUUCCGUGGAAAUGCCCUGGAAGCCAAGCCCCGACGAGCUUUCCCUUCCACAUCCCUCCUUCUUCUUCUUCUUCUUCUUAAGGAAUAUUUUCGAUCCAGAGCGAGGCACGACACAUCCAUCGUCUGCAGAAGAAACCUUAAACCAAUAUCCGCAGAAUUUGAGGGUAAGUCGUCUAUUCAUAUCAUAUCAGAGGCCAAUUGUAGCAAAGAUCGAGACUCGAGAGCCUCUAUUCAUGUACUAUAUACUAGUAAUUCAAGGCAAGGAGCAUCUCGUUUUGCAGAUUGGCUUCUUGAGCAGGAUGGGGAUAGGCAUACUUUGGUCUGUCUUAUCAUUUGACUGCAAAAUUGACAGCAUCUAGGGGCUGGGGGGACGAAGAUAUUGAACUAGACUGGAAAAACUGAGGAAAUGAGAUAGUCCUGCUUAUUAAAAAAAGAAAAGUUUAAGAAUAGUGAAAAAGGUGGAAAUAGAUAGUUUCUGGGCAUUGCAUGGAGACGAAGGUUUUGGAAGGCUCUAUCCGGAACCAGAAACACAGGAGAUCCUGAACUCCCGUAGAAUCGGAACAAAAAUAGCCGCAGAGGCUGCAAGACACUGGAUAUUCCCGCAGUCCCUCCUCUGUUAAGGUGCCAUCUGGGGCGGCUGUGCACACGCGGCAAAAUAAGGUGCUAAAGUAGCAGAAAUCCGAAGGGGGAUCAAAAAGGUGCAGAGGUUUUUGUACAAAGUACUAGAGUAUUUAUUAGAACUGCUUCUCCAAGAGUUCAAGUUGGAACUUUCAGGUCUGUCGGGGAGCAAACGAUUGAAGGCGAUCCAUCCAUACGCGAUAUCAAUUGGCCCCCUUUUCCAAACCGUAAUCGCAAGCCAGGAUUAUUCUUAAUUUAUUUUGACAGUAACUGCACCUCCGGUUCCGCGUGUCCAAGCCGACAAAAGCUAUGGUUUUCGGUCUCAAAUUAUAGAUUUAUUUUCUCUUCGAGCAGGUGGUUGUUGGCGUAUAAAUUUACGCCUAUGCCCAUGAUUAUUGUGCAUUUUAAUUAUAGCAAAUAUGCUACUGCUAGUAUCACCACCUAAGUGGGCGAACCCUUGUUUUCUACCAAAAAAUAUCACAUCUAAGUGGUUUGUUUCUAAAAUAA